rnacentral:rRNA from 1 species
CCGAGAUUCCCCCAGUAGCGGCGAGCGAACGGGGAGGAGCCCAGAGCCUGAAUCAGCAUGUGUGUUAGUGGAAGCGUCUGGAAAGGCGCGCGAUACAGGGUGACAGCCCCGUACACAAAAGCGCAUGUGCUGUGAGCUCGAUGAGUAGGGCGGGACACGUGGUAUCCUGUCUGAAUAUGGGGGGACCAUCCUCCAAGGCUAAAUACUCCUGACUGACCGAUAGUGAACCAGUACCGUGAGGGAAAGGCGAAAAGAACCCCGGCGAGGGGAGUGAAAAAGAACCUGAAACCGUGUACGUACAAGCAGUGGGAGCACCCUUUGGGGUGUGACUGCGUACCUUUUGUAUAAUGGGUCAGCGACUUAUAUUCUGUAGCAAGGUUAACCGUAUAGGGGAGCCGGAGGGAAACCGAGUCUUAACCGGGCGUUAAGUUGCAGGGUAUAGACCCGAAACCCGGUGAUCUAGCCAUGGGCAGGUUGAAGGUUGGGUAACACUAACUGGAGGACCGAACCGACUAAUGUUGAAAAAUUAGCGGAUGACCUGUGGCUGGGGGUGAAAGGCCAAUCAAACCGGGAGAUAGCUGGUUCUCCCCGAAAGCUAUUUAGGUAGCGCCUCGUGAAUUCAUCUCCGGGGGUAGAGCACUGUUUCGGCUAGGGGGCCAUCCCGGCUUACCAACCCGAUGCAAACUGCGAAUACCGGAGAAUGUUAUCACGGGAGACACACGGCGGGUGCUAACGUCCGUCGUGAAGAGGGAAACAACCCAGACCGCCAGCUAAGGUCCCAAAGUCAUGGUUAAGUGGGAAACGAUGUGGGAAGGCCCAGACAGCCAGGAUGUUGGCUUAGAAGCAGCCAUCAUUUAAAGAAAGCGUAAUAGCUCACUGGUCGAGUCGGCCUGCGCGGAAGAUGUAACGGGGCUAAACCAUGCACCGAAGCUGCGGCAGCGACACUCAGGUGUUGUUGGGUAGGGGAGCGUUCUGUAAGCCUGCGAAGGUGUGUCGUGAGGCAUGCUGGAGGUAUCAGAAGUGCGAAUGCUGACAUAAGUAACGAUAAAGCGGGUGAAAAGCCCGCUCGCCGGAAGACCAAGGGUUCCUGUCCAACGUUAAUCGGGGCAGGGUGAGUCGACCCCUAAGGCGAGGCCGAAAGGCGUAGUCGAUGGGAAACGGGUUAAUAUUCCCGUACUUGGUGUUACUGCGAAGGGGGGACGGAGAA